rnacentral:rRNA from 1 species
UGGGGAAUCUUCCGCAAUGGACGAAAGUCUGACGGAGCAACGCCGCGUGAGUGAUGACGGCCUUCGGGUUGUAAAGCUCUGUUAAUCGGGACGAAAGGCUUUCUUGCGAAUAGUUAGAAGGAUUGACGGUACCGGAAUAGAAAGCCACGGCUAACUACGUGCCAGCAGCCGCGGUAAUACGUAGGUGGCAAGCGUUGUCCGGAAUUAUUGGGCGUAAAGCGCGCGCAGGCGGAUUGGUCAGUCUGUCUUAAAAGUUCGGGGCUUAACCCCGUGAUGGGAUGGAAACUGCCAAUCUAGAGUAUCGGAGAGGAAAGUGGAAUUCCUAGUGUAGCGGUGAAAUGCGUAGAUAUUAGGAAGAACACCAGUGGCGAAGGCGACUUUCUGGACGAAAACUGACGCUGAGGCGCGAAAGCCAGGGGAGCGAACGGGAUUAGAUACCCCGGUAGUCCUGGCCGUAAACGAUGGGUACUAGGUGUAGGAGGUAUCGACCCCUUCUGUGCCGGAGUUAACGCAAUAAGUACCCCGCCUGGGGAGUACGACCGCAAGGUUG